rnacentral:rRNA from 1 species
CCUACGGGUGGCAGCAGUGAGGAAUAUUGGUCAAUGGGCGAGAGCCUGAACCAGCAAAGUCGCGUGAGGGAGUACUGCCCUAUGGGUUGUAAACCCCUUUUGUCGGGGAGCAAAAGCCGGACGUGUCCGGCUGUGAGAGUACCCGCAGAAUAAGCAUCGGCUAACUCCGUGCCAGCGGCCGCGGUAUUACGGAGGAUGCGAGCGUUAUCCGGAUUUAUUGGGUUGAAAGGGGGCGCAGGGGGAAUGUUAAGUCAGCGGUAAAAUCGUGGGGCUCAACCCCGUCCAGCAGUUGAAACUGGGGAUCUAGAGUGUGCGAGAGGUAUGCGGAAUGCGUGGUGUAGCGGUGAAAUGCAUAGAUAUCACGAAGAACACCGAUUGCGAAGGCAGCAUACCGGAGCACAACUGACGCUCAGGCACGAAAGCGUGGGUAUCGAACAGGAUUAGAUACCCCUGUAGUC